rnacentral:rRNA from 1 species
CGAGGGGUAUAGGUUUUCGGACCUAGAGACCGGCGCACGGGUGCGUAACGCGUAUGCAAUCUACCUUUUACAGAGGGAUAGCCCAGAGAAAUUUGGAUUAAUACCUCAUAGUAUUAUGGAAUGGCAUCAUUUAAUAAUUAAAGUCACAACGGUAAAAGAUGAGCAUGCGUCCCAUUAGCUUGUUGGUAAGGUAACGGCUUACCAAGGCAACGAUGGGUAGGGGUCCUGAGAGGGAGAUCCCCCACACUGGUACUGAGACACGGACCAGACUCCUACGGGAGGCAGCAGUGAGGAAUAUUGGUCAAUGGGCGCAAGCCUGAACCAGCCAUGCCGCGUGCAGGAUGAAGCAUCUAUGGUGUGUAAACUGCUUUUGUACGAGAAGAAACACUCCUACGUGUAGGAGCUUGACGGUAUCGUAAGAAUAAGGACCGGCUAACUCCGUGCCAGCAGCCGCGGUAAUACGGAGGGUCCAAGCGUUAUCCGGAAUCAUUGGGUUUAAAGGGUCCGUAGGCGGUUUUGUAAGUCAGUGGUGAAAGCCCAUCGCUCAACGGUGGAACGGCCAUUGAUACUGCAAGACUUGAAUUAUUGGGAAGUAACUAGAAUAUGUAGUGUAGCGGUGAAAUGCUUAGAGAUUACAUGGAAUACCAAUUGCGAAGGCAGGUUACUACCAAUAUAUUGACGCUGAUGGACGAAAGCGUGGGGAGCGAACAGGAUUAGAUACCCUGGUAGUCCACGCCGUAAACGAUGGAUACUAGCUGUUCGGAGCAAUCUGAGUGGCUAAGCGAAAGU